UACGGAGGGGGCAAACGUUGCUCGGAAUCAUUGGGCGUAAAGCGCACGUAGGCGGUUCGUUAUGUCGGAUGUGAAAGCCCUUGGCUUAACCGAGGAAGUGCAUCCGAAACUGGCGAGCUAGAGUACUAAAGAGGAUCGCGGAAUUCCCGGUGUAGAGGUGAAAUUCGUAGAUAUCGGGAGGAACACCGGUGGCGAAGGCGGCGAUCUGGGUAGAUACUGACGCUGAGGUGCGAAAGCGUGGGGAGCAAACAGG
rnacentral:rRNA from 1 species